GUGGGGAAUAUUGGACAAUGGGCGAAAGCCUGAUCCAGCCAUGCCGCGUGUGUGAAGAAGGUCUUCGGAUUGUAAAGCACUUUAAGUUGGGAGGAAGGGCAGUAAGUUAAUACCUUGCUGUUUUGACGUUACCGACAGAAUAAGCACCGGCUAACUUCGUGCCAGCAGCCGCGGUAAUACGAAGGGUGCAAGCGUUAAUCGGAAUUACUGGGCGUAAAGCGCGCGUAGGUUGUUUUGUAAGUUGGAGGUGAAAUCCCCGGGCUCAACCUGGGAACUGCAUCCAAAACUACUGAGCUAGAGUACGGUAGAGGGUAGUGGAAUUUCCUGUGUAGCGGUGAAAUGCGUAGAUAUAGGAAGGAACACCAGUGGCGAAGGCGACUACCUGGACUGAUACUGACACUGAGGUGCGAAAGCGUGGGGAGCAAACAGGAUUAGAAACCCUGGUAGUCC
rnacentral:rRNA from 1 species